UACAGAGGUCUCAAGCGUUGUUCGGAUUCAUUGGGCGUAAAGGUGCGUAGGCGGCGCGGAAAGUCGGGUGUGAAAUUUCGGAGCUUAACUCCGAAACUGCAUUCGAUACUCCCGUGCUUGAGGACUGGAGAGGAGACUGGAAUUUACGGUGUAGCAGUGAAAUGCGUAGAGAUCGUAAGGAAGACCAGUGGCGAAGGCGGGUCUCUGGACAGUUCCUGACGCUGAGGCACGAAGGCCAGGGGGAGCAAACGGG
rnacentral:rRNA from 1 species